UGGCUCAGACGGUAAAGAAUCUGCCUGAGAUGCAGAAGACCCAGGUUCAAUCCCUGG
rfam:TPA: Bos taurus chromosome X, whole genome shotgun sequence.